UACCUCUAUAUUUAAAAGCAUCAUAAAAAGCUUAAGGUUUAUAGACUUAGGCUUUACUGACAACUCAUCUCAUUGGACAAGUAAAAGAUAUUACGUUGCAAAUCUAAAGGUUUACCUAGAUAUAGCCCUUGUGAAUAGCCACUAAUGUUUUUUAUUCCUAGAAGCCUCAGUUCUAUAUGAACUUGUCGCCUUUUUUUAUCACAGUCCUUUAAUUAGUUCUACUUCAAGCUCUAAAAAGUUUGCCACAAUACCACUUAAGUUUAAAGAGGCUUGGUAGAGGGAUAACUCAUAAGCACUAGUGAUGGAAAAGCUUGGAAAACCUCAUUCCUCAACUCGAUUGUGCAUCACUAUUUUUAGAAAUUAAAAUGCACAAAAACAAAACUAACUAAAU
rnacentral:lncRNA from 1 species